rnacentral:rRNA from 1 species
GACGAACGCUGGCGGCGUGCUUAACACAUGCAAGUCGAACGGAAAGGCCCUGCUUUUGUGGGGUGCUCGAGUGGCGAACGGGUGAGUAACACGUGAGUAACCUGCCCUUGACUUUGGGAUAACUUCAGGAAACUGGGGCUAAUACCGGAUAGGAGCUCCUGCUGCAUGGUGGGGGUUGGAAAGUUUCGGCGGUUGGGGAUGGACUCGCGGCUUAUCAGCUUGUUGGUGGGGUAGUGGCUUACCAAGGCUUUGACGGGUAGCCGGCCUGAGAGGGUGACCGGCCACAUUGGGACUGAGAUACGGCCCAGACUCCUACGGGAGGCAGCAGGGGGGAAUAUUGCACAAUGGGCGGAAGCCAGAUGCAGCAACGCCGCGUGCGGGAUGACGGCCUUCGGGUUGUAAACCGCUUUCGACUGUGACGAAGCGUGAGUGACGGUAAUGGGUAAAGAAGCACCGGCUAACUACGUG